rnacentral:rRNA from 1 species
GAUGAACGCUGGCGGCGUGCCUAAUACAUGCAAGUCGAGCGAAUGGAUUAAGAGCUUGCUCUUAUGAAGUUAGCGGCGGACGGGUGAGUAACACGUGGGUAAUCUGCCCUGCACUUCGGGAUAAGCCUGGGAAACUGGGUCUAAUACCGGAUAGGACCACUGCCUGCAUGGGUGGUGGUGGAAAGCUUUUGCGGUGUGGGAUGGGCCCGCGGCCUAUCAGCUUGUUGGUGGGGUGAUGGCCUACCAAGGCGACGACGGGUAGCCGGCCUGGGAGGGUGACCGGCCACACUGGGACUGAGAUACGGCCCAGACUCCUACGGGAGGCAGCAGUGGGGAAUAUUGCGCAAUGGGCGAAAGCCUGACGCAGCAACGCCGCGUGAGGGAUGACGGCCUUCGGGUUGUAAACCUCUUUCAGCAGGGAAGAAGCGAAAGUGACGGUACCUGCAGAAGAAGCACCGGCUAACUACGUGCCAGCCGCCGCAGUAA